UUAAUUUUGGGAAAAAUAGGUGAAAAUUUGAAUUCUGUAGGUAUUUUUGAAAAAAAAAUUAGAAACCGGAGGUCAAAACGCAAUUUAGAAAAGUUGUGCCACGUCAGCAACCACGUCAGCAGCUCUGGCCAACCAGGACACGCCGCGUGGCAAGGAAACGCUGACACGGGACGGGCCACAUGGGCAAUCCGCGUGCGCGCGAUCGGACGGCCCAGAUCCGUUCCCGCGUGCAC
rnacentral:lncRNA from 1 species